GGCCAAUACGGCGAGGCUUCGCGGCUGCACGGGCGCCGCGAGGUCCAAGGGCGGCAGCAGCCAAUACGGCGAGGCUCCGCAGCUGCACGGGCGCCGCGAGGUCCAAGGGCGGCAGCAGCCAAUAAGGCGAGGCUCCGCGGCUGCACGGGCGCCACGAGGUCCAAGGGCGGCAGCAGCCAAUACGGCGAGGCGCCGCGCCCGCACGAGCGUCGUGAUGUCCAGGGACAGCAGCGGCCAAUACGACGAGGCGGUGGCUCUCCGGCGUGUGCUCCGCCUUGCUCCUGCGUCUCCUCCCCGGGCUCGACCUCCCGCCGUGCGUCCCCACCCGUAGCACCAAGACUCCCAAUGGCGUCUGCGUCGCCUCCGAGGAUGCCCCGGUAGCACCCAUCUCCCCCCUCCUCCUUCCUUCGGAUGAGUCAAUAGCUGACGGCGGCCAUCGUGUCUGAGCUCAUGUACACCCAGAUUUGACAGGGAGCAGAACAUGGAUCUCAAUUUUUGGCAGCUCUGUUCUAAUGAAGCCAGCAUGGUUAGGUAGUGCCCGUCAGGCACAACUUGCUCGUUUUCAGCAUGAGGAGGAAGAAGAUUAUUUAGUUUUUUUUUUGUAUGGACUAAUCCAAUGAGGAUGCUGGGCAAGAAAAUAGAAGGAAUGUGGAUCUCAAGACUGAAGAAAAGCAGGCCUCCUUGGUGGCUCUGUGCUCAGAAAAGCAGAUUCGCAAAACUCCGAUUUUUCGACAGCAACUCAUCCGCCUCAGUCUCGUCUUUCGUUGACGGCAGAGCACCACGUAGCAGUGUUCGGGAGCGCAUCUUUGCAAAAAUCUAUACAAGUAUCAGAACCGGUUGUGGAGAUGGGAAUUAGGAAAUCCCUAAUUGCAUAUCUGAAACCAUGACAUUUUUCGUGGAAGGGCUGGGCGUUUCGGCACCAAGGGGCUCACCAUAACUUUUGUUUCGCCAGCCUCGGACUCAUAUGUUCUUAACCAAGUGCAAGAACGGUUUGAGGUGGACAUCAAGGAGCUGCAUGAGCAGAUUGACACUUCAACAUACAUGGCAUCGUAGACGACGACCCCGACAUUGCAAGGACGACGGAAGGAGAAGAUGGAAGAUGGGAUCCUUGAAAGUUUGCUUCAAGUGAUGUUGUUUUUUGCAUGCCUACCUUGCUACUUAGGAGGCAUCAGCAGCAGUUGUACCUUUUUUUAGUCUGAGAGAGAUGUUUGUUUUGUUAAUUAGGCAAAAAUGAAAAUGAUUUUACUUGUGCUAGAAUUGGAUGGAUGAAUGUAUGAUGCAUGGUUUUCUUUGAAAUUUUAAAAAAUCAUGAUAUUUAGACAAAACUUAUUUUUUUCAAACGUUGCAAUAUAUCAUUAAAUAUUAUAUCUAAUCCUGUAACAUUCUAAAGUUUUCAAAUUUUGCUUGCUUGGGUAAUUUGAUUUGGUUGAAGAAUCUUUUUUGGAUGAAAUUCUAAACACUAUUCAGAGAAAUCAGCAGCUGCCUUUGUUCAAGAAUGUAGUAAUUCUCUGAACAUUAUUUUGCUUUUCUGUAGCAAGUUAUUCUAUUAGUACUGAACACUAUGCAAGGAAAAUCAGCAGCUGCCAUUCUUCAAGAAUGUACUAAUUCUCUGAACAUUGUUUUGUUUUUCUGUAGCAAAUUGUUCUAUUAAUACUAAAUACUAUGCAAGGAAAAUCAGCAGCUGCCAUUGUUUCAGAGAAUGAGCUAAUUCUUUGGAGAACAUUUGUUUUUCUGUAGCAAAUUAUUGUAUGAAUUCUGAACAUUGUUGAAAGAAAUUGAGCUCUGAACAUUGUUCAAAUAACAGAGAUAGAGCAGUCUGUGUAUAGAUUGAGCAUUAAGCUAG